rnacentral:rRNA from 1 species
UACGUAGGGGGCAAGCGUUGUCCGGAAUCAUUGGGCGUAAAGAGCGUGUAGGCGGCUCGAUAAGUCCGCUGUGAAAACUCGAGGCUCAACCUCGAGACGUCGGUUGAAACCGUAUGGCUAGAGUCCGGAAGAGGAGAGUGGAAUUCCCGGUGUAGCGGUGAAAUGCGCAGAUAUCGGGAAGAACACCUAUGGCGAAGGCAGCUCUCUGGGACGGUACUGACGCUGAGACGCGAAAGCGUGGGGAGCGAACAGG